rnacentral:rRNA from 1 species
UGGGGAAUAUUGCACAAUGGGCGCAAGCCUGAUGCAGCCAUGCCGCGUGUAUGAAGAAGGCCUUCGGGUUGUAAAGUACUUUCAGCGGGGAGGAAGGCGAUAAGGUUAAUAACCUUGUCGAUUGACGUUACCCGCAGAAGAAGCACCGGCUAACUCCGUGCCAGCAGCCGCGGUAAUACGGAGGGUACAAGCGUUAAUCGGAAUUACUGGGCGUAAAGCGCACGCAGGCGGUCUGUCAAGUCGGAUGUGAAAGCCCCGGGCUCAACCUGGGAACUGCAUUCGAAACUGGCAGGCUAGAGUCUUGUAGAGGGGGGUAGAAUUCCAGGUGUAGCGGUGAAAUGCGUAGAGAUCUGGAGGAAUACCGGUGGCGAAGGCGGCCCCCUGGACAAAGACUGACGCUCAGGUGCGAAAGCGUGGGGAGCAAACA